rnacentral:rRNA from 1 species
UACGUAGGGGGCAAGCGUUGUCCGGAAUUAUUGGGCGUAAAGCGCGCGCAGGUGGUUUCUUAAGUCUGAUGUGAAAGCCCACGGCUCAACCGUGGAGGGUCAUUGGAAACUGGGGAACUUGAGUGCAGAAGAGGAAAGUGGAAUUCCAAGUGUAGCGGUGAAAUGCGUAGAGAUUUGGAGGAACACCAGUGGCGAAGGCGGCAUCCUGGACCGGCAUUGACGCUGAGGCGCGAAAGCUAGGGGAGCAAACGGG